UUGCGAAUGAUCUUCUUCUCAUCGCAAGCAUAAUUAACUUCAUUAUUAGUGUUUGAAUUUGCUAAUAUUAAAGGAGGCUGGCCAUCCACCAUAAAGUUGGAAAGGUUGGAAGUUCCACCCAAGAUCGGAUUGUCUUCAGCAAUAUCUUGGUGGGGAUUCGAGGAGAUUUGGGACGAAAAUUCAUUAUUUUGUUGGAAGGGAAACAUUGAAUGGAGGCUAAUCAAGCUUAAGUGCAGCAAUAAUGGAGUUAAAAGAAUUGGAUAUAUGGUUGUUGACGGUGGUCUCUAUGUACUCUAAUUG
rnacentral:misc_RNA from 1 species